CGGAUCAGGUAGGAAUACCCGCUGAACUUAAGCAUAUCAAUAAGCGGA
rnacentral:rRNA from 1 species